rnacentral:rRNA from 1 species
AGAGUUUGAUCCUGGCUCAGAUUGAACGCUGGCGGAAUGCUUUACACAUGCAAGUCGAGCGGCAGCGCGGGGCAACCUGGCGGCGAGCGGCGAACGGGUGAGUAAUACAUCGGAACGUGCCCAGACGUGGGGGAUAACUACUCGAAAGAGUGGCUAAUACCGCAUACGAUCUACGGAUGAAAGCGGGGGAUCGCAAGACCUCGCGCGUCUGGAGCGGCUGAUGGCAGAUUAGGUAGUUGGUGGGAUAAAAGCCUACCAAGCCAACGAUCUGUAGCUGGUCUGAGAGGAUGAUCAGCCACACUGGGACUGAGACACGGCCCAGACUCCUACGGGAGGCAGCAGUGGGGAAUUUUGGACAAUGGGCGAAAGCCUGAUCCAGCCAUUCCGCGUGCAGGAUGAAGGCCCUCGGGUUGUAAACUGCUUUUGUACAGAACGAAAAAGCUCUGGCUAAUACCUGGAGUCCAUGACGGUACUGUAAGAAUAAGCACCGGCUAACUACGUGCCAGCAGCCGCGGUAAUACGUAGGGUGCAAGCGUUAAUCGGAAUUACUGGGCGUAAAGCGUGCGCAGGCGGUUUUGUAAGACAGAGGUGAAAUCCCCGGGCUCAACCUGGGAACUGCCUUUGUGACUGCAAGGCUGGAGUGCGGCAGAGGGGGAUGGAAUUCCGCGUGUAGCAGUGAAAUGCGUAGAUAUGCGGAGGAACACCGAUGGCGAAGGCAAUCCCCUGGGCCUGCACUGACGCUCAUGCACGAAAGCGUGGGGAGCAAACAGGAUUAGAUACCCCGGUAGU